UACGAAGGGGGCUAGCGUUGCUCGGAAUUACUGGGCGUAAAGGGCGCGUAGGCGGAUAUCUAAGUUGGGGGUGAAAUCCCGGGGCUCAACCUCGGAAUUGCCUUCAAAACUGGAUAUCUCGAGUUCGGGAGAGGUGAGUGGAACUCCGAGUGUAGAGGUGAAAUUCGUAGAUAUUCGGAAGAACACCAGUGGCGAAGGCGACUCACUGGCCCGAUACUGACGCUGAGGCGCGAAAGCGUGGGGAGCAAACAGG
rnacentral:rRNA from 1 species